UACAGAGGGUGCGAGCGUUGUCCGGAAUCACUGGGCGUAAAGGGCGCGUAGGUGGUGGCUUAAGCGUGCGGUGAAAGCUCGGGCUCAACUCCGAGUCGGCCGUGCGAACUGGGCUCACUGGAGCAUAGUAGAGGCAGGUGGAAUUCCGGGUGUAGCGGUGAAAUGCGUAGAGAUCGGGAGGAACACCAGAGGCGAAGGCGGCGACCUGGACAGCUACUGACACUCAACUACGAAAGCGUGGGGAGCAAACAGG
rnacentral:rRNA from 1 species